UAUUUUGUUUAGUAGUGAUGAAAGGUGGGUUUAAAAUAUACAGAAAUGAGAGAAAAUUGGAGAAAAUGUGAGGAUUUUAUAAUUGAUAACAUGUUCUUAAUUUUAUUUGCACAAGCAGUGUUCACAGCCUUAUUCUUCUGAAGUGACCACUUUUCUUCUCUUUGAGGCACUACCUGGCAGCACCAUCUAAACCUGUAUCUGCUGUGGUCCCAGUUACUCAGGAGGCUGAGGCAGGAGGAUCACUUGAGCCCAGGAGGUUGAGGCUGGAGUGAGCCAUGACUGUACCACUGCACUCCAGCCUGGGUGACGGAGUGAGGCCGUAUCUGGCUGCCAGUGAGUUCUGUCAUGCAUCAGACUUUGGACCUCAGAAUUUUCACCUGGAACAUGAAAGGGAACUGCAACAUGGCCCUCAUGACCACUCUCAAGAAUCAAAACGACAGAAGGCAGGCAACAAUCUGUGUUAGAGGCACAGCUGAGCUUCAGGAUGCCUGCUAUUAAAAUCCUUCACAAGCAGAAAUGAAACAAACCUGCCCUAA
rnacentral:sRNA from 1 species